CUUAUUCUAUUCUGGAAGGUCAUCUGAGAGGUAGUUUGUAACCGCCCUAUCCCACCAUAUAUCCCAUAACAAGUAUAGUUCCCGGGAUAUAUAGUAAUGCCUUCGUCUGGGCAUAAUAUUUUUAGUAAUGAUUGGGUAUUAAGUUUCCAUGACUCGCAUGCUGACCACUUAGGUUUAAAUACAGUGUAGAGACUUAAAACGCAUACUUCAUAUCCGGAGGAAGGUUCAGGGAUACUGUACCUGGGUGAGGCCUCGCUCCUCCGCAGACAUAGCAGUUAGACUUGUUAUGUUUAGUAGCAUUGUAUUUCAUCCAUUCAAGUCACAAGUUAGUGCCAGAGAAACCUGUCUCUACAGCCCUAGUAUCCUCAAAUAUGGGAUGACUACCAUGUCUUUUAGAGUCCUAAUGUGUGGUUUGAGGGCACCUACCCAUUCAGCUGAGUCAUAAUGUCCUGUUUAUUGUAUAAAACCUCUUCCCUUCCAAUUCAGAUUUUAUUAGCCGUAAUGCUUGGGAGAAUAGAUUCAAACUUAGUUUCUUACCUUAAAAUCAUUUGGUACCCCCCUUGACACCCCUAUGGCAUUAAUAUACAUAUAUAUAUAUGUGUGGGUAAAACCACCCUUUAUAGGGGUACUCCUUUUUGUCCUGAAGCAUGAAUGAGGCGUGUCAAGAGUACCUUGGGGAUUGUCAUGUGUUAUGUGUAUGGACAUAAUAACCUAGGCUAGGGCACAUUUACUUAUUCUUAGAAAUCUUGUCUCAUGCUCCCUAGUAUUGGCAGAUUCAGAUCAUUUAAACAUUCAAUAUUAAUAUCACCACAAACUCAAGAUAAGCAGAUGAUCCUGAAGAAGCAUUGACUGUGCGUAUGGCACCUCAGACGUGAGGGCUGCAGGGUAAGGAGUAUGUUUGUUUCUCUUUAGUUUCACGAGGUCCCCUUUUGGGGUAUUUGGCUUUCCAUCGAUGGCAGGUGGUCAGGCAUUAUUAUGGCCAUCAAAACACCCACUUGUUGAUAUUUAUUUAUUUAUUUAUUUUCAACAAGUAUCUUUGUUGUCUAAGAAUGGAGUUUCAAAAAGGGUUGUCAAGAUCAACAAAUGUUACUUCACAUGAUGCAGAGGCAGGCUUGAUUCUGGAAUGAUGAAUCCACGGGGUGAUCUCUGUAACUUUCACGGUGCACUACUCAGCAUGUGGUCUUGGUUAUCACUUUGGUGGCUGGAUAGGCCUCUGGCCAUCCUGAAAACAUGUCUGCUAUAAUUAGUGCAUAUUUGAAUCAGCCAUUCUUUGGCAUUCUGGAUGUAGUCGACUUGACUCCUCUGGAAGAGAUAAUGAGGUUUGGCUAGAUGCUUGGGGCUUUCCUCCAUUCUUCCUGAGUUGCCCUUGGCACAAAUGGCACAAGAUUUACAGUAACUGUUGGUCAGAGAGGCAAUUCCUGGUACUUCAGAGUAUUUAUUGAUCAAAAGAGUUCAUGAGGGUUCUGGACAGAUGCUCCGUAGGCCCACUGGACCAGUGCUGAGUAUAUGUUCUUGGGUGUUGGGGAUAAAAUCAGCCUGGCCCUUUGUGGAUGAUGGAUAUUUGCCAACUCAUA
rnacentral:lncRNA from 1 species